rnacentral:rRNA from 1 species
GCGGUGGAUGAUGUGGUUUAAUUCGAUGCAACGCGAAAAACCUUACCCACCUUUGACAUGUACGGAACCCUUUAGAGAUAGAGGGGUGCUCGAAAGAGAGCCGUAACACAGGUGCUGCAUGGCUGUCGUCAGCUCGUGUCGUGAGAUGUUGGGUUAAGUCCCGCAACGAGCGCAACCCUUGUCAUUAGUUGCUACAUUCAGUUGGGCACUCUAAUGAGACUGCCGGUGACAAGCCGGAGGAAGGUGGGGAUGACGUCAAGUCCUCAUGGCCCUUAUAGGUGGGGCUACACACGUCAUACAAUGGCUGGUACAAAGGGUUGCCAACCCGCGAGGGGGAGCCAAUCCCAUAAAGCCAGUCGUAGUCCGGAUCGUAGUCUGCAACUCGACCUACGUGAAGUCGGAAUCGCUAGUAAUCGUGGAUCAGAAUGUCACGGUGAAUACGUUCCCGGGUCUU